GUGGUGUUGCCUAAUCGCGCGCCUCUCUCUCUCUUUUCGCGCAGGCGCAUGGGGUUGCGGCGGAGGAGUUUUCGGUGUACAGGCGACAGACGGACGGACGGACGAACAAACGGGCGAAUCGGCUGGCCAUAUACAGAAUAUUCCAGGAUGUUACGCAGCCCUCCACGUGCUAGCCGCGCAUCACUCAUCAGUAUCGUGAUAGCGGGAGGCUGCUUUGUCCAGCACCGAGCCGGAUGUCCAACUGCGGCUGGUGAACUGGGCGGAGGACGUCGCGACUAGGCAUGGCCUGGACGCCACAACCGGCAGCCUGAAGGCCGCCCACAACGCUGCUUUUUAAUUUUUUAAUUUGCUUUUACUUUUGGCCUUCUCAUCAAUAAAAGUUUUUCACCACCACCACUUUCGCUUUGCUGUCGCACGUUGGGUGCCUGACUGCUCUCUUCCUCGCCGCCGCUGGGGAGAGGAAUGCUACGGAGACGUAGCGCUCACAAGUGAGAGCUAGCGCUUCGGAAGAGUACCGCGUUUUCAUCCACGUUAGCUUAAGCUGGGGAAGGUAGAACAUAAACACCUUAUUAGCAACAGUUAAAUAAGGCAGAACACACCACUGAAUGCAAAAGUUCACUUAUUUUGCGGCUUUUCCCUUCGGCGUCUAUAGGCAAACGCGAAAUCGUCGCACGUAGAAGCUGCGCCGAUUCAGCGUCUGCUCCUAGCAACCAAAAGCACUGUCAAACGCUGCCGGACUACUUGGCGCGGUAACUCAUGUGCGGAAGCUCCGCCCCCUUAGCUUUCCCUUCAUAGCCACAGAAAGCUGUACGCGAGUAUAUUCAUACGUAUUCCGCCCCCUUCUGUACAGUUGGCGUUGCGCGGAGGAUAGGUAUACUCGCUCACCACGCUGCAGGCCAGAGUUAGAUUCCUUGUAGGGGCUAGAUUUUCUUUAUUCUUUGUGGCCUGUCAUCGUAUGGGUAUAAAGGGUGGCAAGAAAAAAAAAAAAAAGCUCGAGCAUUAAAAAACAAAAAAGAAACGUAGCUGUGCAGCUAAGUUUACAGCUACGUAAAUGCUAAUUUUCUGGUGCAAACGAAAUUUAUUUUAGCUCUGCGUCAUUCAUUGCGAACGGCAUUGCGCUGAAAAUGACCGUGCACCUACUUCACCCUUUAAAGGAACAGGAAAUGCAAAUGUGGAGUUAAGCUAAAGUCAUAGAUUAAUGAUAGAUAACGUCUAAGGCAUCAAUAUUAUCGCGAAAAGAGGUUUACGGUAUAGUCGAGAAAUUGAGGUAAACGCAGGGCACAAUUUGAGACUCUCGGGUCAUUCUCAAGUCCCGGUGACAUUCAGGCCGAGGACGCAGGCACUCCUCAUUAUAAUUCUGCCGCUAAUGCUCAACCACUCGUAGUAAGAAGAUCAUUGCAUUGCAUUAUAAGAAGGAAGAAGAUGCUACUUGUCCAGUUCUAUUCGAUAUUUAAAAAAAAAAAAAAAAAAAAAAAAAAAAAACAUUCGUGUUACUCUUGACAGCGCCGCGGGCGAUAGAAAGGUUUCGUUUUCGCUCGACUCUACGCCGCCCGCGCUUUCGCAUUUCAGCAGUUAUCGCGUAGCGCUGCGCUGGUUUUGUUAACUCGCACAAACUGCAAGUAGCAGAGACUGCCACGUCCACGCGCUGUUGCGGGAUGCCCGAACAGUCCCCGCAACUUGAGCGGGAGCAUCUGCAGCGCCAAAUGUAUAGGCGGAUCCAACGAACUGUACUGGCUCGGCUUCUUCUCCACAGCCGCGUGCGUUUGCGUUCUGCGCAAAAAAAAAAAAAAAAAAAAAGAAAAA